rnacentral:rRNA from 1 species
GACGAACGCUGGCGGCGUGCUUAACACAUGCAAGUCGAACGGAAAGGCCUCUUUCGGGGGGUACUCGAGUGGCGAACGGGUGAGUAACACGUGAGUAACCUGCCCUUGACUUUGGGAUAACUUCAGGAAACUGGGGCUAAUACCGGAUAGGAGCUCCUGCUGCAUGGUGGGGGUUGGAAAGUUUCGGCGGUUGGGGAUGGACUCGCGGCUUAUCAGCUUGUUGGUGGGGUAGUGGCUUACCAAGGCUUUGACGGGUAGCCGGCCUGAGAGGGUGACCGGCCACAUUGGGACUGAGAUACGGCCCAGACUCCUACGGGAGGCAGCAGUGGGGAAUAUUGCACAAUGGGUGGAAGCCUGAUGCAGCAACGCCGUGUGCGGGAUGACGGCCCUCGGGUUGUAAACCGCUUUCGCUCAUGACGAAGCUUUGUGUGACGGUAGUGGGUAAAGAAGCACCGGCUAACUACGU